GGGAGGGGCGCCCGGUGGCAGGGUCGCCGGUCCGUGGAGGACAAAAGGGGCGGGGCCCGCGCUCCACCUGGACCAGGUGUGUGUGGGCGGGGCCGCGCGUCACCUUAAGGAUGUUGUCGAAGAUGGUGUCGCGGAACUCCAGCAGCGCCUUCUGGUCGAACUCCCGGCCGUGGAUGAUGCGCAUCUGCUUGAGGAAGGUGGACUUGCCGCUCUCGCCGGCGCCCAGCAGCAAGAUCUUGACCAGCCGCCGCACCGCGCGCCGCUCGCGGGCCAGCAGCGCGUCGAUGUCGCGGCUGCGCCGUCGGGCCUCGCGUUCCGCGUCGCGCGCCGCGCCCGCCCUGCGCUCGCGGGCUCCGGCCUCGGCCGGCAGCAAGCAGCGGCUGAGGGUCCGCACCACCCCGGACAUGACCGCCCUCAGGCCGCGGCCGC
rnacentral:lncRNA from 1 species